rnacentral:rRNA from 1 species
AGAGUUUGAUCCUGGUUCAGGACGAACGCUGGCGGCGUGCCUAAUACAUGCAAGUCGAGCGAGCUUGCUUAGAUGAUUUUAGUGCUUGCACUAAAUGAAACUAGAUACAAGCGAGCGGCGGACGGGUGAGUAACACGUGGGUAACCUGCCCAAGAGACUGGGAUAACACCUGGAAACAGAUGCUAAUACCGGAUAACAACACUAGACGCAUGUCUAGAGUUUGAAAGAUGGUUCUGCUAUCACUCUUGGAUGGACCUGCGGUGCAUUAGCUAGUUGGUAAGGUAACGGCUUACCAAGGCAAUGAUGCAUAGCCGAGUUGAGAGACUGAUCGGCCACAUUGGGACUGAGACACGGCCCAAACUCCUACGGGAGGCAGCAGUAGGGAAUCUUCCACAAUGGACGAAAGUCUGAUGGAGCAACGCCGCGUGAGUGAAGAAGGGUUUCGGCUCGUAAAGCUCUGUUGGUAGUGAAGAAAGAUAGAGGUAGUAACUGGCCUUUAUUUGACGGUAAUUACUUAGAAAGUCACGGCUAACUACGUGCCAGCAGCCGCGGUAAUACGUAGGUGGCAAGCGUUGUCCGGAUUUAUUGGGCGUAAAGCGAGUGCAGGCGGUUCAAUAAGUCCGAUGUGAAAGCCUUCGGCUCAACCGGAGAAUUGCAUCAGAAACUGUUGAACUUGAGUGCAGAAGAGGAGAGUGGAACUCCAUGUGUAGCGGUGGAAUGCGUAGAUAUAUGGAAGAACACCGGUGGCGAAGGCGGCUCUCUGGUCUGCAACUGACGCUGAGGCUCGAAAGCAUGGGUAGCGAACAGGAUUAGAUACCCUGGUAGUCCAUGCCGUAAACGAUGAGUGCUAAGUGUUGGGAGGUUUCCGCCUCUCAGUGCUGCAGCU